CCUACGGGAGGCAGCAGUGGGGGAUAUUGCACAAUGGGGGGAACCCUGAUGCAGCGACGCCGCGUGGGUGAAGGAGCGUUUCGGCGCGUAAAGCCCUAUUGGCAGGGAAGAAGGAGGACGGUACCUGACUAAGAAGCCCCGGCUAACCACGUGCCAGCAGCCGCGGCAAUACGGAGGGGGCAAGCGUUCUCCGGAUGUAUUGGGUGUAAAGGGGGCGCAGGCGGCUGAGCAAGCCAGGAGUGAAAGCCCCGGGCCCACCACCGGGACUGCUCUUGAAACUGGGCGGCUGGAGUGCGGGAGGGGCAGGCGGAAUUCCUGGUGUAGCGGUAAAAUGCGUAGAUAUCAAGAGGAACACCGAUGGCGAAGGCGGCCUGCUGGACUGCGACUGACGUUGAGGCCCGAAAGCGUGGGGAGCAAACAGGAUUAGAUACCCGAGUAGUC
rnacentral:rRNA from 1 species